rnacentral:tRNA from 1 species
CAGAGGUCUCAGGUUCGAAUCCUGUCGGGCGCGCCAUUUAGUCCCGGCGCUUGAGCUGCGGUGGUAGUAAUACCGCG